rnacentral:rRNA from 1 species
UACGAAGGGUGCAAGCGUUAAUCGGAAUUACUGGGCGUAAAGCGCGCGUAGGUGGUUCAGUAAGUUGGAUGUGAAAUCCCCGGGCUCAACCUGGGAAUUGCAUUCAAAACUGGCCAACUAGAAUACGGGAGAGGGGGGUAGAAUUCCAAGUGUAGCGGUGAAAUGCGUAGAGAUUUGGAGGAAUACCAGUGGCGAAGGCGGCCCCCUGGCCCGAUAUUGACGCUGAGGUGCGAAAGCGUGGGGAGCAAACAGG